rnacentral:tRNA from 1 species
UGCUCUGUGGCUUAGUUGGAUAAAGUGCCGGACUAGCGAUAUGGAGUCUUGGGUUCGAAUCCCACAAAACAA